GACGAACGCUGGCGGCGUGCUUAACACAUGCAAGUCGAACGGAAAGGCCCUGCUUUUGUGGGGUGCUCGAGUGGCGAACGGGUGAGUAACACGUGAGUAACCUGCCCUUGACUUUGGGAUAACUUCAGGAAACUGGGGCUAAUACCGGAUAGGAGCUCCUGCUGCAUGGUGUGGGUUGGAAAGUUUCGGCGGUUGGGGAUGGACUCGCGGCUUAUCAGCUUGUUGGUGGGGUAGUGGCUUACCAAGGCUUUGACGGGUAGCCGGCCUGAGAGGGUGACCGGCCACAUUGGGCCUGAGAUACGGCCCAGACGCCUACGGGAGGCAGCAGUGGGGAAUAUUGCACAAUGGGCGGAAGCCUGAUGCAGCAACGCCGCGUGCGGGAUGACGGCCUUCGGGUUGUAAACCGCUGUCGCCUGUGACGAAGCGUGAGUGACGGUAAUGGGUAAAGAAGCACCGGCUAACUACGUG
rnacentral:rRNA from 1 species